rnacentral:tRNA from 1 species
GCCAGCGUAGCUCAGUGGUAGAGCAACGGUUUUGUAAACCGUAGGUCGUGGGUUCAAAUCCCUCCGCUGGCU